rnacentral:rRNA from 1 species
UAACACAUGCAAGUCGAACGAACCGCGGAGGGCUUGCUCUCCAAGGUUAGUGGCGAACGGGUGCGUAACACGUGAGAAACGUACCCACCGGUGGGGGAUAGCCGGCCCAACGGCCGGGUAAUACCGCAUGCGACGUCUUCCGGGCAUCCGGAGGGCGGGAAAGCAGCAAUGCGCCGGUGGAGCGUCUCGCGUCCUAUCAGCUUGUUGGUGAGGUAAUGGCUCACCAAGGCUACGACGGGUAGCUGGUCUGAGAGGAUGACCAGCCACAUUGGGACUGAGACACGGCCCAGACUCCUACGGGAGGCAGCAGUGGGGAAUAUUGCGCAAUGGCCGAAAGGCUGACGCAGCGACGCCGCGUGCGGGAUGAAGGCCCUCGGGUCGUAAACCGCUGUCAGGAGGGACGAAACUCUGACGGUACCUCCAGAGGAAGCACCGGCUAACUCCGUG